GAUGAACGCUGGCGGCGUGCCUAAUACAUGCAAGUCGAGCGAACGGACGAGAAGCUUGCUUCUCUGAUGUUAGCGGCGGACGGGUGAGUAACACGUGGAUAACCUACCUAUAAGACUGGGAUAACUUCGGGAAACCGGAGCUAAUACCGGAUAAUAUUUUGAACCGCAUGGUUCAAAAGUGAAAGACGGUCUUGCUGUCACUUAUGGAUGGAUCCGCGCUGCAUUAGCUAGUUGGUAAGGUAACGGCUUACCAAGGCAACGAUGCAUAGCCGACCUGAGAGGGUGAUCGGCCACACUGGAACUGAGACACGGUCCAGACUCCUACGGGAGGCAGCAGUAGGGAAUCUUCCGCAAUGGGCGAAAGCCUGACGGAGCAACGCCGCGUGAGUGAUGAAGGUCUUCGGAUCGUAAAACUCUGUUAUUAGGGAAGAACAUAUGUGUAAGUAACUGUACACAUCUUGACGGUACCUAAUCAGAAAGCCACGGCUAACUACGUG
rnacentral:rRNA from 1 species